UGUAAGCGUAUACCACAGUUGUUGCAGUUAAAACGCUCGUAGUCGGAAUUUGGCAGUUCCGGAUGUGUGCACGUCGUGUGCGCACUUCGCGGGGAUUGCUUUUGUGGUCUUGCGUAGGAUGAGGCACUUUUAUUAGUGAACGUCCUCACGCAACCACUUUUUACUGUGAGAAAAUCAGAGUGCUCAAAGCAGGCAUUUGCCGUGAAUGUAUUAGCAUGGAAUAAUAGAAUAGGACUUGGUUCUAUUUUGUUGGUUUGUUGGGACUGAGUAAUGAUUAAGAGGGACAGUUGGGGGCAUUUGUAUUUCGGUGCUAGAGGUGAAAUUCUUAGAUUACCGAAAGACAAACUGCUGCGAAAGCGUCUGCCAAGGAUGUUUUCAUUGA
rnacentral:rRNA from 1 species